UAAGUAGUAAAGUGUAACAUAUCGGAUUUUGAUAUAAAAAUAAAAAUAAAGAAAAAUAGUGUUAGAUACUAUUUUUAUUAGAUUUAGAGAAGUAAAACAUAAGUCAGAAGUGACUUCUGCUGAAAUUGGGAUGAAAACAGAAGAUUUAAAAUUUUCUGUUGGAAACGGGACAGAUAAAUUAGCAAAAAAUUUACAGUGUCAAAAAAUUAUGAAAACUGGAGGAUAAGUCAGAAUUAUUUUUAUGAGGCUAGAUUUAAAGUUUCAUGUUAUUCUGACACCCGGAAGGUGGAAAAUAAAAUCCGACAGCUAUCUGAUAAAGAUUACAGUUCGGUACAGUUUUCGGUGACCAAACGGGGUCGAAACUAAAAUAUUAAAAUUUUUUUGUACUUAUUAAGUAAAACCAAGCCUGACUGUCAAAUUUGAGCGCAAACAGACAUUUAGAAGGGCUCCGGUGAAAAAUAUCAGUUU
rnacentral:lncRNA from 1 species